UUAUGUAUGUGUGAUUUCUUUCUUUCUUUCUUUUUUUAAUAAAUUUGCAAAAAAUCUCAAACAGCUUUUUUCGCAUUGUCAUUAUGGGGUAUUGUGUCUAGAAUCUUGAGGAAAAACAAUUACUUCAUGCAUUUUUGUAUAAGGUUGUAACAUAAAAUGUGGAAAAAGUGAAGCACUGUGAAUACUUUCUGGACGCACUAUAUGCGCUUUUAAAUUGGAGACAUACAGUAUCCUCCAUAUCCAGGAGGAUAUGACAGUAUAUAUUAUUUUUUAGUCACUGUGUUAAGAAAGUGGAGGGAAUGGAUUCAGUAAUCCACAUUUUACAGGCUAAAGCUGAGGAAAAUGCUGAAGAUAAUGGGGUUGUCUAUCUAUAUUGUGAUUACAGGGUUAGUAACACUGCACAUUAGGACUAAUGCUGGUCUUGCUCUGGAUUAAUACAUUUUGACAUCUAUUCCAUCCUGACCUAGGCAUUUGGGUUCCUGUGCUCUGAAUCAGCUGGUUCUAGAGCCUCCCAAAAAUGGAACCAGUUUUCCCAGCCAAACUCCAGUAGUUUUAAGCUGGAAACAUUUAAAACUGUUCCUGGUUUGGCACCAGCACUGACAGCGGCCCAGCAGUAAAGGGGCCACAGCACACUUCAUACAACAUUGUGUUUGGAUUGUGGAGAUCAAACUGAGAGACAAUUAAUCAUAACAAUGCGGAAAAUUUGAAACUUGUUCAUCAGUGUUUUCAUGUAAGGUCUCAUUUAUGCUCAACAUUAAACAUAGAUACAGAUACAGACGGCGCUUUCUAUUCGCACUCUGUUUUCAUUUUGUUGGUAUGUCUGUCUAUUUUCUGAAAAUUUACAGAUACAGACAAAACUGAGCAUUACCACCAAAAAUCAUGGGAGCAGUG